rnacentral:misc_RNA from 1 species
AACGCACAUUGCGCCCGCUAGUAUUCUGGCGGGCAUGCCUGUUCGAGCGUCAUUUCGACCCUCAAGCCCGCCGGCUUGGUGUUGGGGCGCCUGCGACCUCUGGGCCGCAGCCCCCGAAAUUCAGUGGCGGUCCCGACCGAGACCCCGAGCGCAGUAAUACCCUCGCUCGCGGCGUCCGGCGGGUCACCAGCCGUAAAACCCGCGGAGCGCCCCCGGGCCCACCGCAACACCCAAGGUUGACCUCGGAUCAGGUAGGAAUACCCGCUGAACUUAA